UAGGGAAUCUUCGGCAAUGGGGGCAACCCUGACCGAGCAACGCCGCGUGAGUGAAGAAGGUUUUCGGAUCGUAAAGCUCUGUUGUAAGAGAAGAACGUGUGUGAGAGUGGAAAGUUCACACAGUGACGGUAACUUACCAGAAAGGGACGGCUAACUACGUGCCAGCAGCCGCGGUAAUACGUAGGUCCCGAGCGUUGUCCGGAUUUAUUGGGCGUAAAGCGAGCGCAGGCGGUUUAAUAAGUCUGAAGUUAAAGGCAGUGGCUUAACCAUUGUUCGGUUUGGAAACUGUUAAACUUGAGUGCAGAAGGGGAGAGUGGAAGUCCAUGUGUAGCGGUGAAAUGCGUAGAUAUAUGGAGGAACACCGGUGGCGAAAGCGGCUCUCUGGUCUGUAACUGACGCUGAGGCUCGAAAGCGUGGGGAGCAAACAGG
rnacentral:rRNA from 1 species